rnacentral:rRNA from 1 species
GUGACCUCAAAUCAGGUAGGACUACCCGCUGAACUUAAGCAUAUCAAUAAGCGGAGGAAAAGAAACUAACAAGGAUUCCCCUAGUAACUGCGAGUGAAGCGGGAAAAGCUCAAAUUUAAAAUCUGGCAGUCUUUGGCUGUCCGAGUUGUAAUCUAGAGAAGUGUCAUCCGCGCUGGACCGUGUACAAGUCUCCUGGAAUGGAGCGUCAUAGAGGGUGAGAAUCCCGUCUUUGACACGGACUGCCAGGGCUUUUGUGAUGUGCUCUCAAAGAGUCGAGUUGUUUGGGAAUGCAGCUCAAAAUGGGUGGUAAAUUCCAUCUAAAGCUAAAUAUUGGCGAGAGACCGAUAGCGAACAAGUACCGUGAGGGAAAGAUGAAAAGAACUUUGGAAAGAGAGUUAAACAGUACGUGAAAUUGCUGAAAGGGAAACGCUUGAAGUCAGUCGCGUUGUCCAGGGAUCAACCUUGCUUUUGCUUGGUGUACUUUCUGGUUGACGGGUCAGCAUCAAUUUUGACUAUUGGAAAAAGGUCAGGGGAAUGUGGCAUCUUUAGAUGUGUUAUAGCCCUUGGUUGCAUACAAUGGUUGGGAUUGAGGAACUCAGCACGCCGCAAGGCCGGGUUUUUUUAACCACGUACGUGCUUAGGAUGCUGGCAUAAUGGCUUUAAUCGACCCGUCUUGAAACACGGACCAAGGAGUCUAACAUGCCUGCGAGUGUUUGGGUGGAAAACCCGAGCGCGCAAUGAAAGUGAAAGUUGAGAUCCUCGUCGUGGGGAGCAUCGACGCCCGGACCUGACCUUUUGUGACGGUUCCGCGGUAGAGCAUGUAUGUUGGGACCCGAAAGAUGGUGAACUAUGCCUGAAUAGGGUGAAGCCAGAGGAAACUCUGGUGGAGGCUCGUAGCGAUUCUGACGUGCAAAUCGAUCGUCAAAUUUGGGUAUAGGGGCGAAAGACUAAUCGAACCAUCUAGUAGCUGGUUCCUGCCGA